UUUACAAAUAAACUAUUUACAAAACAAAAUUUUUAAAAUAAUAUUUUACAUUUUAGUAACAAAGAACUUAUGGAUAAUCUGCGAGUGGAUACCAGAAACAAAAACUUAAGCGAUGUACUUUUUGUACCACGUAAGAACGGCCCCACCGUAAUUCUAAUGUUAAUAAAAACCGAAGAAAAAGAAAGUACAAAUUUAAAGAUGCUUUACGCGUCUUUAGAAAAUUUAAAAAGACAAUUAAUAGAAAACAAAAUCAAUACAAAAUUGGCUACAAAUGAGACUCUAGGAUUAAAUAUGGAAUCCUCGAUAACCAGAAAAAUUUUACAACAUGUACUAGGAGGUACGCCCUACAGAGUGACAAUUUGCAAAGAAAUAAAGAAAAAGCAGAAUUUCAAAUCAGGACCAAACAGAGGUGGCCAACACAAAGGGAAAUAUUACAAACCAUACUUUAGAAAUUAAGUUAGUUUUAAUGUUAUUUUAGUUUUUUUGUUCAUAGUUUUUAGUUAUAUAUUGUAAUUGUUUAUAUUACUCUCGUCAGAAAAGAUUGCCGGUCACAGCACACCUUAUGUCGAUCUACAAUGUAUGUUUUUCUUAAAAUGCGAACGACUUACGGAAUAAGAUCAUUCCAAUGUUGAACGAAAAAUCCUUUCUUUCAACAUUAAUACGAUACUAUCCCGAAAAUCGCUCACAUAUUUAAAAAAACGUAGAUUGUACACCGAGAUAAGGUGUUUUAUGACCGGCAAUCUCUUCUGGCGAGAAGUUUAGUAGUUUAAGUACCUUAUUACUCUCGUCAAGAAAGAUAUCCGAUCACAGCACACUUGAUGCCACUAUAUAAUCUAAGUUUUUUUUAAGAUACAAACAACUUCCGGAAUAGGACCAAAUCAAUGUUGAACGAAAAAUCUUUUCGAUCAACAUUGAUACGAUACUAUCCCGGAGGUCGUUCGCAUUUUAAGAACAACAUAGAUUGUAAAUCAGAAUCAAGUGUUCUAUGAUCGGAUAUCUUUCCUGUCGAGAGGUUUAGUAAAAUAGUUUGUAGUUUGUUUUAUAUGUAGAUGUAUUAAUAGGUAUUUAUCUAUUAAGGGCAUAAUAGUGAUGUUUAUAUUCUUGAGAAUCACCCGAGAGUAUAAACAUCAAUUUAUGCCCAUGGUACAUACACAAUUUUAAGGUUUACAAAUAGUUUCCUUCGUUAAAAUUCAUUUACAAAAUAAUUCAUUAUGUUUGAUCGAGCAUGCGUGGUUAGAAUUUGUUAAUGUGAUUGAAACCAUCCAAACUUAAUUUUAAAUAAUUCAAUUCAUUGUGAAUGAGCAAGAUGUUUCAGAAACUAUACAAAAUAAGACCAAUCUUAUGAUUUAGUAGAUAUUGACAAUUAAUAAUUAACGUUUCUAAUCUUCAAUGAUCUGCAAAUAUUUGUUUGUUUUGUUAUUAAGUAUAAAUGAGUUACUAUGAUGAUAGCUAAUGUCCUAGGACAUAAAGUGAUACUUUAUGCCCGCAUAU